rnacentral:rRNA from 1 species
UCCGUAGGCGGUGUGGCAAGUCGGUAGUGAAAUCUCUGGGCUUAACCCAGAGGCUGCUGCCGAAACUGCCGUGCUAGAGUGUGAGAGAGGCGAGUGGAAUUACGGGUGUAGCGGUGAAAUGCGUAGAUAUCCGUAGGAACAUCCGAGGCGAAGGCGGCUCGCUGGAUCACAACUGACGCUGAGGGACGAAAGCUAGGGGGAGCAAACAGGAUUAGAUACCCUGGUAGUCCUAGCCCUAAACCAUCAGGACUUGGGGUGUGCCCUGUACGGGGCACGUCCCGUAGCUAACGCGUUAAGUCCUGCGCCUGGGGAGUACGGUCGCAAGGCUGAA